CAGUCGCCACGGGAAUACAGAGGGUGCGAGCGUUAAUCGGAAUUACUGGGCGUAAAGCGUGCGCAGGCGGUUAUAUAAGACAGAUGUGAAAUCCCCGGGCUCAACCUGGGAACUGCAUUUGUGACUGUAUAGCUAGAGUACGGCAGAGGGGGAUGGAAUUCCGCGUGUAGCAGUGAAAUGCGUAGAUAUGCGGAGGAACACCGAUGGCGAAGGCAAUCCCCUGGGCCUGUACUGACGCUCAUGCACGAAAGCGUGGGGAGCAAACAGGAUUAGAUACCCGAGUAGUCCCUGUCUCUUAUAC
rnacentral:rRNA from 1 species